CGGCAUGCUGAAAGACUUACCA
rnacentral:siRNA from 1 species